GGUUCAUUGUGUGUCUGAUCUUUUCUGAGUCACAGGGACCCAAACUUUCCAGUUUCUCAAAGUGCCCUUCAUUUUGUCCGAGUCCACUCAUGUAACGCUGUCUUCUCUCCGCUUCCCACACCAUCACAGAUUGGCAGGAGCUGAUUCUACAUCCUUAACAACAGUGUACCCCUCACAGCUGGACCCUCUGUGGACGACUCCUUUCUAGAUGCCUGGACCUCGGCCUCACCUUCCCUCUCACAGCUCUGACGGCCUCUCUCUGCUUCUACCUUCGCCGUUCCUUGGAUUGCUCCGCGUUCCCUCCUCAGGACGGUCCUGCAGGUGAAACAGACACAAUCCAUCAGAACUCCAAGUGUUCCUGACGAGAACGGGCCGAGUCUCUGAAGAGGAUUACAGAGGAAACCACCUCUGCAGGUUUCUCCCAGUGGAUGAAGUGGAGGAAACCUCCAGUUUCGGCAAUCAGAGACGUGGACAGGUGGUGGAGGUUCUGAGGCUCCCAGCGACUAAAAGCUCUAGAAACAGAUUCAGAUUUUUAUGCCGGGUCAUGAUGGUUUUGAAGAAGGAGGGCGUGCAGGGAAGGCAUGUCUCAUGAAAAAGAAACCCCUCAGAGGGAGAGGCAG